UACGUAGGGCGCAAGCGUUGUCCGGAAUUAUUGGGCGUAAAGAGCUCGUAGGCGGUUUGUCGCGUCUGCUGUGAAAUCCCGAGGCUCAACCUCGGGCUUGCAGUGGGUACGGGCAGACUAGAGUGCGGUAGGGGAGACUGGAAUUCCUGGUGUAGCGGUGGAAUGCGCAGAUAUCAGGAGGAACACCCAGGGGGAAACCAGUCGACUGGGCAGCACCUGACGCUGAGGUGCGAGAGCGUGGGGAGCGAGCCGG
rnacentral:rRNA from 1 species